GAGAAUCGAUUGAAAUAGUAUAUGAAGUGGUUUGAAAAUAGGUACAAACUAUUGACAUUUCAAUGUCAGAGAGUGAUACCUGUAGUAGUAUAGGCAAAGGUCCAACCCCAUCGAAAGGCUUAAACAUUUACCUUUUCUGAAAAACUAUUGAAAUAUAAAGAGAGUCCCCAGUCACAGGGGCAACUUCUGUAACCAAAUCCAGAUCUGAGGAAACUCCUGUAACCCCAUUUGGGGUUUCUUUCUAAGCCAAUAGGGUUACAGGUUGGUACAGUGACACAUUGAGAAUGGGGCUACAAAUACUUUUCCCACCAUCUAGGAUGAAAUACACGAAAUCCUGUUGAAAUCUUGGUUUUUAUGCCUUUGCUCAUCAGAAUAAACGUAAAUGCUGAAAAACAAAUAACCUCCUGAUCCACUGUCUUGCCUCCUGGUGAGAAAUGAUUCUAUCCCCUGUUUAUUGGGAAAUUUCCAAAGUUGUUCAUCACUUAAAUGCCGUAUUCAAAGGGAACAUGGAAGGAUGAAGCGGAGAAAGUGCCUUCGAGACAUUCACACAUUUCUCUGGACUCAGUCUGUUAACAUAUCAGGGAGCUUGUCAGAUCACACCUUUUUGCCUUGGAAAUCCUACAGAUUUCCUGUACGCCUUCAUAUCUGAUUCUUCCCUAAAACCUUUGGGUAUGAUUUCCUCCCUGGUCUUGAUAAUGUCCUGCAGUCUGUGUUUUAUAAUUAUUCUUUGUAUUUAUUGAAUCUAGACUUUAAGUUAUUCAGAGAUCAGACCAGAACCUUAGAGUUUCUAAACUGUAUGUGGAUAUUAAAUAAUAUUAAUAAUGAAAGAGCUACCAAAAUAGUCUAUAUUGUGUGAACAAUCUCUUGGGAUAUUAGACGUGUUUAAAGACCAGUGUUGCUGCUAUUUUUAAUAUUUUGGUUAAUUUAAGUGAAAUGUACAUAUUUUAAUUUGAAGAUUUAUCUUGCCCAUCAGAAUGUGAAGAUAUACUUGCAUAUAUUUUGACAUAUUUCAUGGAAAAUAAAAAUGAUAAUCCACUUUGUGAGUGUAAGUGAAUGUAUUCAUAUGUAUGUUAUUAUAAAUGAUUUUUGUUUGCACUGAUGAUGAAAUGAGAGUUUUGGGGGCUUUUUAUACAUUUAUAUCGACUGGUCUCUAAAUCUCCUAUUUUGUUUUCUUAUCAUUUUUGAAAUACAGUUCCCAUUACAUGAGUUUUAAAUAGAUUGGUGUUUCAUUUUGUAUUAUGCUACUACUAGAUGUUGAUUCUCUGGUAUUGUAAAAUAAAAUGUGCUCCAAAAACCCAAACCCUUGGACUUUAUGAGCUUUCCUUUCUCUGGUUUUGCUGAUUCCCCACAAAGAUUCUUUCAGUUUAUGGCACUUGCCCCUUAUUUAAAGAGCAGAGUUUAUUUCACUUCAGUGUAAAAGAAAUUCAGCAUGUGUAUUAUACACAAUAUAGGCACAUGAACUUAAGCCAUUUAAUUUGGUAAAGUCUCAAAGAGUCUUCCAGGAUUUACCUGUCUUCCUCCUACUUCAGGUUGGUUUCUCCUGUAAGAUUAAUAAGAUAAAUACUCUUGUUUGCUUGAUUACUUUAUGGAAGUAGUUUUCAAUAGGGUAGGUUGAACUUUUUAUCUCAGGUCCCUCACUUCCUGGAAAAUCAAUAUUCUUCCCUUUCUACCUUUUUUUUUUUUUUUUUUUUUUUUGAGAUGGAGUCUCGCACUGUCACCCAGACUAGAGUGCAGUGGUGCGAUCUCGGCUCACUGCAACCUCCGCCUCCCGGGAUCAAGCAAUUCUCCUGCCUCAGCCUCCCAAGUAACUGGGAUUACAGGUGCCCGCCACCAUGCCCAACUAAUUUUUUGUAUUUUUAGUAGAGACAGGGUUUCACUAUGUUGGCCAGGCUGGUCUCAAACUCCUGACCUCGUGAUCCUCCCAAAGUGCUGGGAUUACAGGCAUAAGCCAAGGCACCCAGCCAAGAUUCUUCCCUUUCUUUGAAGGACUCCUGCCUUGGUUGUGAGCACGCAGACACCCCCAGUGUCCCCAGGCCUUGCUGGUGGAGGAUUCCUGAUGAGCUUCUGCUCUGUUCUCCCAGCUCUACUGAGCUGAGUAUUUGUUAUCAUCAACCCCCACCCGCUGAGAAGCUCCCUGGCCAUUUUUCUUUCACCAUUUCUAAACCCAUAACAGUCACCAGCCUACCCAGUAUGUAGAUAUGCCAGGGGUUUGCAUAUUUCACUCACAAAUCUCAAUCCAUCUCAAGGAAUUUGGGGCAUUUGGGGAAUCUUCAACCUAAAAAAAUAAACACUAUACUCAACCUAAGGUUAAUUCUAGCUCUUACCAAGCUGGACAACUGUGCAAAUUCACAGUAAUUUCAGGAACAGGGGACUAUUUUUUGGUGCCAGUGGUGGUGAGGCAGGUCUAUACACAGCAUCAUAUUAAAGACUGAUUUGAUUCCUACAUAAGUUUCAUAUUUUUUUGUUCCCAUUGGCACCUACAAAUCUACACCUAAAUUGGGACAAUUGGCUUCUAGUUACAUGAAACUGAUUAUGAGGAAACUGUGGCAAGAGAGAAUGAAUAGAUGAUUGUAAAUUUGUUCUCAGUACUGGAAAAAAAAUCUGGUGAUGCAAAACAAACGGCUUCAGAGACAGAUGAUCAGGGUGUUAACCCACGUGGACACACCAAAGCCACAGGAAGACUCUUCAUCGGGCCUUACAUACAACCUUCCCACAGAGCAGCAAAGCACGCCCUCCUGGAGCACCCUCGGUUGAAUCAUGCAUAAGACAAACAGCCAGAAAAGAAUCUCAGGGAAAAUCAUGGCCAGGAACCUGGAUCCAUCAGAAAAUUGAAGUCACAGGACAAACCUCACUCUGAAAAUUGGAGACACAGGCAAAUAAAGAGGAUCCCAACUUACCAAGAGUAGAAGCCCACAUCUGGAGCACACAGGUGGCUGCUGCGUCUCCAGGCUUCCUGUCCCUGUGCCAUCAGAAAAGAAGGUGUGAGGGAGGAGUGCAGGAGGGCAAGAGAAAAAUGUCUUCCCAGAAACUCAGCGUAUGUCUCAGUGGUCAGAAAAAAUUAGCUGCUAUGUGCCACUGUCCUAGGUACUGAGAAUAUAAUGAUGAGCAAAACCAGACACUGUCCCCAGCCUUACAGAGCUCACACCUGUGACAUCCAUCCUAGCAUAUAUAAGCAGACUUUCAGAAAAUUCACCCUAACAGACGGCUUUGCCUUGUUAGGAGACAUCAUGCGCAGCCCACAAGGGAUGUGUCUGCUGCUCUAAGAUCCAGAACAUUGUCUCUGUGACCCAUGACUACAUCCUACUGUGUCGGCAAGGCCAGGACUUGGAAUGAGUUUCCCGAUGGAGCCUGCCACUCACUGGGUCCUUUGUGGGAAUCAGCACAUGGAGAAGACUAAGUUUUAUGGACUGAAUUGUGCCCCUCCCCCCAGAAAAUCAUGCUGGAAUCCUAACCCACAGUGUCUCAGGAUAGGACUGUACUGAAGAUAUGAUGAUUAAAUUAAACAAGUUGAUUAAAUUAGGAUGAGGUCCUAUGGGUGGGCCCUAAUCCAAAGUGCAUGUGUC
rnacentral:lncRNA from 1 species